CUGUUUUGAGUACUAUAGCCUUAUAGUAUAGUUUGAUAUCAGAUAGUGUGAUACCUCCAACUUUGAACUCUUAAGCAUUUUAAAUGCUCUUUAAAAGUACCAUUCUUAUUUUUAAACUGUUAGAAUGUGUUGGAACUUGAUCACAAAGAAUGUAGUGUUUUGGCUUUGUUUGUUUUUUUUUACUUAAACAAUAUACUGUGUUGUAAGAUAGGGCUGAAUGUACACUGAAUAGAAAUAUGAAAUCUUGUAAUUGGAGAAGACCUUAGAGGUUAGUCAGUUAAUUCUCUACCCAAUCUUCAAAUAUAUUUUGGGGGGGUUUUAAUAGACCACCCUAGUAACUGGAAGCAUGCCACUCCAUGAUAAAUCCUACUUCUAAUAGAAUCACUAAUUAAUCACUCUUAAUUUUAAACUUGUACUUGCUUUUUCUUCCUUUCCUUAUACUUUUUAUGACUUGAAUAUUCAUUUUCUUUUUACUAGAUACAUUGAAUUUAUUAGCUUACUUAACCAUUUUACAUUGUAUUACCUUGUAUCAGUAUAUAGUCAUGUAUUCAGGUGCAUAACUGUAUCUUAGACUUAAGUAUUACAUAAUAUUAUUCUGUUAGUAAUAAUGACUCUGGAGCUUUCUUUAGGUUGCACAAGAAUCUUGUUAUCUCCUCUACCCUUCUUCCCCCAAACCAUAAAUUUAUUCUUCACAAUCACUAAAUCCUCUGGCUGUGUUAAUCUUUACAUCUUAUGUAGAACAAUCAUUAUUUAGGGAUUAGAUUAGAUUUUUCUCUCCUGACUAGAUUCCACAGUCAGCUUUUCCAGUGGGGUGUUUGCUGUAGCCUCCAACUGGCUCUGUCUCAACCAUAAUUCCCCUCCAUAGUGCUUGGAUACACCCAUUUAUUUCUUAUGUUCAUUUAUUUAAUAAUUCACUUAAGUAAUAUUUAAAUAUCUAGCCUCAGGUUAGAUAGUGUGGAAAUCUGGUUUUAUGAAAAGACAGAGUAAGUGAUAUCCAUGAUUGAAAACUUACUGGUAACAAAACAAAAAGCUUGGAAUAGUGUCUGAAAAGUAUCCUUGUGGUUUCUUAUGAAUAGUUGGGGCAAAACUCAGCUUAUAUCUAAGGCAGGUUGAAGGGAGUGAAGUUGAGAUACGCAGCUGUAAGCACUGCCACCUAUUGACUGAAUGAUCUGUUGUGUCCACAUAUGUUGUCUUCACACAAGUUAGUGGUAAUAUCCCCUUCUUCCAGAGAUGAAACAGAUUUGAGCACUAAUUUGAAGUCACACAGCCAUAGGUGUCAGAGUUAGGAAUUCAAAGACAAAGAUCUCACUGUUCAUUCUUUUAUACCAGAAGUGGUUCAGGGAUGAAGAAUUUUUAGUUUAAUUUAAAAUUUAAUAUACUUUUUAAACAUUAUAAUUUUUGACUAUGAUAAGAUGAAAUCUUGGGAACUAUAAAAAUCACAAAAUGACAGAGUGAAAUUGAACUCUGCC